GACGAACGCUGGCGGCGUGCUUAACACAUGCAAGUCGAACGGUGAAGCGCCUUCCUUUUUGGUGGGUGUGGAUGAGUGGCGAACGGGUGAGUAACACGUGAGUAACCUGCCCCCUUCUUCUGGAUAACCGCAUGAAAGUGUGGCUAAUACGGGAUAUUCUGGGUCUGUCGCAUGAUGGGUCUGGGAAAGAUAUUGUUUCGGUGGGGGAUGGGCUCGCGGCCUAUCAGCUUGUUGGUGGGGUGAUGGCCUACCAAGGCGGUGACGGGUAGCCGGCCUGAGAGGGUGGACGGUCACACUGGGAAUGAGACACGGCCCAGACUCCUACGGGAGGCAGCAGUGGGGAAUAGUGCACAAUGGGCGCAAGCCUGAUGCAGCGACGCCGCGUGAGGGAUGGAGGCCUUCGGGUUGUGAACCUCUUUCGCCAGUGAAGCAGGCCUGCCUCGUUUGUGGGUGGGUUGACGGUAGCUGGAUAAGAAGCGCCGGCUAACUACGUG
rnacentral:rRNA from 1 species